rnacentral:rRNA from 1 species
UACGGAGGGGGCCAGCGUUGCUCGGAAUUACUGGGCGUAAAGGGCUUGUAGGCGGUCUGAUAAGUCCUGUGUGAAAUCCCCUGGCUUAACCAGGGAACUGCGCCGGAUACUGUCGGACUAGAGGCCGGGAGAGGGAAGCGGAAUUCCCAGUGUAGCGGUGAAAUGCGUAGAUAUUGGGAGGAACACCGGUGGCGUAGGCGGCUUCCUGGACCGGUUCUGACGCUGAGGAGCGAAAGCUAGGGUAGCAAACAGG